rnacentral:rRNA from 1 species
AUUGAACGCUGGCGGCAGGCCUAACACAUGCAAGUCGAGCGGAUGAAGGGAGCUUGCUCCUGGAUUCAGCGGCGGACGGGUGAGUAAUGCCUAGGAAUCUGCCUGGUAGUGGGGGAUAACGUCCGGAAACGGGCGCUAAUACCGCAUACGUCCUGAGGGAGAAAGUGGGGGAUCUUCGGACCUCACGCUAUCAGAUGAGCCUAGGUCGGAUUAGCUAGUUGGUGGGGUAAAGGCCUACCAAGGCGACGAUCCGUAACUGGUCUGAGAGGAUGAUCAGUCACAAUGGAACUGAGACACGGUCCAGAAGCAUAAGGGAGGCAGCAGUGGGGAAUAUUGGACAAUGGGCGGAAGCCUGAUCCAGCCAUGCCGCGUGUGUGUAGAAGGUCUUCGGAUUGUAAAGCACUUUAAGUUGGGAGGAAGGGCAGUAAGUUAAUACCUUGCUGUUUUGACGUUACCAACAGAAUAAGCACCGGAUAACUUCGUG